GAUGAAGAACGCAGCGAAAUGCGAUAAGUAAUGUGAAUUGCAGAAUUCAGUGAAUCAUCGAAUCUUUGAACGCACAUUGCGCCCGCCAGUAUUCUGGCGGGCAUGCCUGUUCGAGCGUCAUUACAACCCUCAGGCCCCCGGGCCUGGCGUUGGGGAUCGGCGGAAGCCCCCUGUGGGCACACGCCGUCCCUCAAAUACAGUGGCGGUCCCGCCGCAGCUUCCAUUGCGUAGUAGCUAACACCUCGCAACUGGAGAGCGGCGCGGCCAUGCCGUAAAACACCCAACUUCUGAAUGUUGACCUCGAAUCAGGUAGGAAUACCCGCUGAACUUAAGCAUAUCAAUAAGCGGAGGA
rnacentral:misc_RNA from 1 species